rnacentral:rRNA from 1 species
GGUCAAGCGAAUAAGUGCAUGUGGUGGAUGCCUUGGCGAUCACAGGCGAUGAAGGACGUAGUAGCUUGCGAAAAGCUGCGGGGAGCUGGCAAACGAGCUUUGAUCCGCAGAUGUCCGAAUGGGGAAACCCGGCCCGUAUGGGUCAUCCCUUGCUGAAUACAUAGGCAAGGGAGGCGAACGCAGUGAACUGAAACAUCUAAGUAGCUGCAGGAAAAGAAAUCAACCGAGAUUCCCAAAGUAGUGGCGAGCGAAAUGGGAACAGCCUUGUACUCUUUAGCAGUAUUGUUAGCGGAACGGAAUGGAAAGUCCGGCCAUAGUGGGUGAUAGCCCCGUACGCGAAAACAGUAUUGUGGAACUAGGUGUACGACAAGUAGGGCGGGACACGUGAAAUCCUGUCUGAAGAUGGGGGGACCAUCCUCCAAGGCUAAAUACUCGUGAUCGACCGAUAGUGAACCAGUACCGUGAGGGAAAGGCGAAAAGAACCCCGGGAGGGGAGUGAAAUAGAUCCUGAAACCGCAUGCAUACAAACAGUCGGAGCCUGGAAACGGGUGACGGCGUACCUUUUGUAUAAUGGGUCAGCGACUUACAUUCAGUGGCAAGCUUAACCGAUUAGGGAAGGCGUAGCGAAAGCGAGUCCGAAUAGGGCGUUCAGUCGCUGGGUGUAGACCCGAAACCAAGUGAUCUACCAUGGCCAGGUUGAAGGUGCGGUAACACGUACUGGAGGACCGAACCCACUAACGUUGAAAAGUUAGGGGAUGAGCUGUGGAUAGGGGUGAAAGGCUAAACAAACUUGGAAAUAGCUGGUUCUCUCCGAAAACUAUUUAGGUAGUGCCUCGUGUCUCACCUUCGGGGGUAGAGCACUGUCAUGGUUGGGGGGUCUAUUGCUGAUUACCCCGCCAUAGCAAACUCCGAAUACCGAAGAGUGCAAUCACGGGAGACAGACAUCGGGUGCUAACGUCCGGUGUCAAGAGGGAAACAACCCAGACCGCCAGCUAAGGUCCCUAAGAUUGGCUAAGUGGGAAACGAAGUGGGAAGGCUAAAACAGUCAGGAGGUUGGCUUAGAAGCAGCCACCCUUUAAAGAAAGCGUAAUAGCUCACUGAUCGAGUCGUCCUGCGCGGAAGAUGUAACGGGGCUAAGCCAGUCACCGAAGCUGCGGAUGCACGUAAGUGCAUGGUAGGAGAGCGUUCUGUAAGCCUGUGAAGGUGUCUUGUAAAGGAUGCUGGAGGUAUCAGAAGUGCGAAUGCUGACAUGAGUAGCGAUAAAGGGGGUGAAAGGCCCCCUCGCCGUAAGCCCAAGGUUUCCUACGCAACGUUCAUCGGCGUAGGGUGAGUCGGCCCCUAAGGCGAGGCAGAGAUGCGUAGCUGAUGGGAAGCAGGUUAAUAUUCCUGCACCGUCGUAUGAUGCGAUGGGGGGACGGAUCGCGGAAGGUUGUCCGGGUGUUGGAAGUCCCGGUCCCUACAUUGGAGAUGGCACUUAGGCAAAUCCGGGUGCGUGAUUCAAGGGUGUGGGGCGAGCGACGUUAGGUCGCGAAGCAAUUGGAAGUGGUUCCAAGAAAAGCCUCUAAGCUUCAGUCAUACGAGACCGUACCGCAAACCGACACAGGUGGGCGAGAUGAGUAUUCUAAGGCGCUUGAGAGAACUCGGGAGAAGGAACUCGGCAAAUUGGUACCGUAACUUCGGGAUAAGGUACGCCCUUGUAGUUUGACUGGCUCGCGCCAGAAGGAUGAAGGGGUUGCAAUAAAAUGGUGGCUGCGACUGUUUAAUAAAAACACAGCACUCUGCAAACACGAAAGUGGACGUAUAGGGUGUGACGCCUGCCCGGUGCCGGAAGAUUAAAUGAUGGGGUGCAAGCUCUUGAUUGAAGUCCCGGUAAACGGCGGCCGUAACUAUAACGGUCCUAAGGUAGCGAAAUUCCUUGUCGGGUAAGUUCCGACCUGCACGAAUGGCGUAACGAUGGCCACACUGUCUCCUCCCGAGACUCAGCGAAGUUGAAGUGUUUGUGAUGAUGCAAUCUCCCCGCGGCUAGACGGAAAGACCCCAUGAACCUUUACUGUAGCUUUGCAUUGGACUUUGAACCGAUCUGUGUAGGAUAGGUGGGAGGCUUUGAAACCGGGACGCUAGUUUCGGUGGAGCCGACCUUGAAAUACCACCCUGGUUUGUUUGAGGUUCUAACCUUGGCCCGUGAAUCCGGGUCGGGGACAGUGCAUGGUAGGCAGUUUGACUGGGGCGGUCUCCUCCCAAAGUGUAACGGAGGAGUUCGAAGGUACGCUUGGUACGGUCGGACAUCGUACCUAAAGUGCAAUGGCAAAAGCGUGCUUAACUGCGAGACCGACAAGUCGAGCAGGUGCGAAAGCAGGACAUAGUGAUCCGGUGGUUCUGUAUGGAAGGGCCAUCGCUCAACGGAUAAAAGGUACUCUGGGGAUAACAGGCUGAUACCGCCCAAGAGUUCAUAUCGACGGCGGUGUUUGGCACCUCGAUGUCGGCUCAUCUCAUCCUGGGGCUGUAGCCGGUCCCAAGGGUAUGGCUGUUCGCCAUUUAAAGAGGUACGUGAGCUGGGUUUAAAACGUCGUGAGACAGUUUGGUCCCUAUCUGCCGUGGGCGUUGGAAUCUUGACGGGGGCUGCUCCUAGUACGAGAGGACCGGAGUGGACGUACCGCUGGUGUACCUGUUGUCUCGCCAGAGGCAUCGCAGGGUAGCUAUGUACGGAAGAGAUAACCGCUGAAAGCAUCUAAGCGGGAAACUCGCCUGAAGAUGAGGAUUCCCUGGAGACUUGAUCUCCCUGAAGGGUCGUUCGAGACCAGGACGUUGAUAGGCUGGGUGUGGAAGCGCAGUAAUGCGUUCAGCUAACCAGUACUAAUUGCCCGUGCGGCUUGAUCCU